ACUCAAAUGAAUUGACGGGGGCCCGCACAAGCGGCGGAGCAUGUGGCUUAAUUCGAUGCAACGCGAAGAACCUUACCUAGAUUUGACAUGCAGGGAAAAGCCGUAGAGAUACGGUGUCCUUAGGGGCCUUGCACAGGUGGUGCAUGGCUGUCGUCAGCUCGUGUCGUGAGAUGUUGGGUUAAGUCCCGCAACGAGCGCAACCCUCGUCCUAUGUUGCCAGCGGGUAAUGCCGGGGACUCGUAGGAGACUGCCGGGGUCAACUCGGAGGAAGGUGGGGACGAUGUCAAGUCAUCAUGCCCCUUACGUCUAGGGCUGCACACAUGCUACAAUGGCCGGUACAGAGGGCUGCUAAAGCGCGAGCUGGAGCCAAUCCCUAAAGCCGGUCUCAGUUCAGAUUGCAGGCUGCAACUCGCCUGCAUGAAGUCGGAGUCGCUAGUAAUCCCGGAUCAGCAUUGCCGGGGUGAAUACGUUCCCGGGCCUUGUACACACCGCCCGU
rnacentral:rRNA from 1 species